rnacentral:rRNA from 1 species
CCUACGGGGGGCUGCAGUGGGGAAUAUUGCACAAUGGGGGAAACCCUGAUGCAGCGACGCCGCGUGAGUGAAGAAGUAAUUCGUUAUGUAAAGCUCUAUCAGCAGGGAAGAAAAUGACGGUACCUGAGUAAGAAGCCCCGGCUAACUACGUGCCAGCAGCCGCGGUAAUACGUAGGGGGCAAGCGUUAUCCGGAUUUACUGGGUGUAAAGGGAGUGUAGACGGCAGUGCAAGUCUGGAGGGAAAGGCGGGGGCGCAACCCCCGGACUGCUCUGGAAACUGUACGGCUGGAGUGCAGGAGAGGUAAGUGGAAUGCCUAGUGUAGCGGUGAAAUGCGUAGAUAUUAGGAGGAACACCAGUGGCGAAGGCGGCUUACUGGACUGUAACUGACGUUGAGGCUCGAAAGCGUGGGGAGCAAACAGGAUUAGAUACCCCAGUAGUC